GGUGAAAGCCUGCAGCUUAACUGCAGAACUGCCAUUGAUACUGUUUAUCUUGAAUAUAGUUGAGGUGGCGGAAUAUGACAUGUAGUGGUGAAAUACUUAGAUAUGUCAUAGAACACCGAUUGCGAAGGCAGCUCACUAAGCUAUGAUUGACGCUGAGGCACGAAAGCGUGGGUAGCAAACAGGAUUAGAUACCCUGGUAGUCCACGCCCUAAACUAUGAUCACUCGAUGUUGGCGAUACACAGUCAGCGUCUAAGGGAAACCAUUAAGUGAUCCACCUGGGGAGUACGACCGCAAGGUUGAAACUCAAAGGAAUUGACGGGGCCCGCACAAGCGGAGGAGCAUGUGGUUUAAUUCGAUGAUACGCGAGGAACCUUACCUGGGCUUGAAAGUUAGUGAAUCUUCCUGAAAGGGGAGAGACCGAAAGGACACGAAACUAGGUGCUGCAUGGCUGUCGUCAGCUCGUGCCGUGAGGUGUUGGGUUAAGUCCCGC
rnacentral:rRNA from 1 species